rnacentral:rRNA from 1 species
GUCCUAGCCCUAAACGGUGCUUGCUUGCUGUAAGAGGAAUCGACCCCUCUUGUGGCGGAGCUAACGCGUUAAGCAAGCCGCCUGGGAAGUACGGUCGCAAGAUUAAAACUCAAAGAAAUUGACGGGGGCCUGCACAAGCGGUGGAGUAUGUGGCUUAAUUCGAUGCAACGCGAAGAACCUUACCUGGCCUUGACAUGUAUCUAGUAGAAGGGUGAAAGCCUGACGAGGUAGCAAUACCAGGAUACACAGGUGCUGCAUGGCUGUCGU